CUACUUCUAGGUAUAUUCCCCAGAGAAAUGAAAACAUAUGCCCAUCCACACAAAAACUUGCACAUGAAUAUUCAUAGCGGCAUGACACAUAAGAGACAAAGGCACAAAAAUGCAAAUAUAUAUCAACUAAUGAAUAGACAACCGAAGCAUGGAAUGCCAAUGCCAAUACACUGGAAUAUUUUUUAGUCAUUAAAAGGAAUGAAGUACUGAUACGUGCUACAAUAUGGAUGAACCUUGAAAACAUUAACACAAGUGAAAGAAGUUAGACACGAAAGACCACAUAUUGUAUGAUUCUACUAUAUGAAAUGUCCACAACAGGAAGUUCUGUAGACAUAGAAAGAAGUUUACUGGUUGCCAGGGGCUGGGGUUUGGGAAAAUGAGCAGUGCCUGACAAUGGGUACAGGGUUUCUUUCUUUCUGGGGUCAUGUAAAUAUUCUAAAAUUGAUUGUGGGGGUGGGUGCACAAUUCUGCGAGUGUGUGUGUGUGUGUGUGUGUGUGUGUGUGUGUAUCCUUCUAAAGGGUGAAUUCUAUGUAGCAUACGAAUACAUCUCAAUAAAGCUGUUGCAUCAAAAUAGAAGGUUUUCAAAAAGAACAUAUAAUUCUUGCCUUUGGUUGAGUAACAGGCUUACACUAAGGUAGAGCAACGCUAUCGUUCUAAUCUCUGUCAGCAUCACCAUUGUCAAAGGGCCUGUAGCAGAGAGAAUUUGGUCUAUCAUUGUGUGUCCUCCACAAAAAAAACCCUUCUGAGAGACAGGUGAAUGACACACUUUGUACAGCAGAUCAAAGACCCUUCCAAAUGGAUUUAAUGGUAAUGGAGAAAUUAAUGAAAAUAACUUCAAAAUUAAUAAACAUCUAUGAAAAAAAAUCCCCUCUGGGAUCAAAUAUUCAAAUCCCACGCACAGAAGCUGAAGUACACGUGCUUAUUUUUAUUAAGGCUUUAUAUUCUUGCAAAAUUUUGUCCAAAAAAACCCCGUAAAAAUAAAUUUCUGUUUGAACAACAAAAGAGGUUUGGCUGCUACUGUAUGUUUCAAUGAUGUGUCGCUCUUUCAAAGUGAUGCUAUUUUUUCUUCUGAGACGGAAAUCUUUUGAAGAGUGCAAAUCCUCACAUUUCAAUGAAACUUGAAGAAGUUGCUUUGUUCUUGCCUGUUUCCUUUUUGUAUUGAUUGUCCUUUGAAUAUAUAUUUAAAUAAAUAUUUCCGCUCAAACUAUCUUGAUCAACUAGGACCAACUGUAGUGCUUUUAAGGGUCAGUACUAUAUUGAUAAAGGUCCAUCCAUCACUGUCCAACAUUCUUGUCAUCCAGGCAGUAAAACAGACUUUAAGAAAGGAAAUGGAUCUUAGUCCAAUCCAAUAUCCAUUCACGGACACCCACCACUGGCAAGCACUUCACGAGGUACUGUGGGAAAUUCACAAAUGAAGAAAAAGCAUCCCCAAGUAGGGCUUACAGCCCACCGAAGUAGAAAGGGGGAGAGCAAGGCCAGAACAGAGGCAGGACCUCGUGCUAGAGGAAUAAAAGACCUAAAACGAAGGCAAAAUCAAGUAGAGUGGUUCAGAGUUUUUAUGCAAGGCCCAUUUUCUUCCUUGAAAUUUUAUGUUGGAGAGGUGGUUUUCUUCCUGGCGUAUUUAUAUGUACAAGGCAAGGUAUUAUUUGAAGCAAUUUUUUUAGAUCUUCCUAGAUCUUCCUAGUUGCUCUGAUAAAGUUUCUUCUUUUGCAGACAUUCGGUAGAGAGGCAGUUUGCUUUUGCAAACCGCUGAGAAGCAACUCCUCUUUGACCUUGCUCAGGACUACGCACAAACAGCGACUCUUUUAACCAAGUGUCCUUCACACCGGGAAACCGUAAACAGAAUUCUUUAAUAACAAGGCCACAACUCUCCCACAGGAGAAAAGAAGGACACAAUUAAACAAAGCAAGGGAAGGGGCAUUUUCCAGGGUUGCUACCAAAGACGCGGGCUUGAUACAAUUACCAUCAAGGGUAUAAUCUCAGGCCAGACUCCAGGUCUUUGAGCUUCCAAGAUGCCCUCCCCUGCAAUGAUCUUCACCUCCUCCUAUCCAUACCCUCCACAGUGAAUCCCCUCCUCCUGCCUUGUGUGACAAGUAGAACACUGAGGGUGUGAAACUCCUCGGGCUAUACUGUAAAAGACAUUACGGCUUCCUCCUUGGUCUCUUGGUCUCUUUGGAGGAAGCCGAGCACCAUGUCACAACAUUCAAGCAGCCUUGUGUGGAGACCCACAGAGAGGGAACUGAGGCCUCCUGCCAGUAGCCGGCACCAACUUCGCAGGUGUGUGUGAGUCAGACACCUGGGAAAUGGGUCCUCUAGCCUCCGGUUUUCAGAUGACUGCAGAUUAGCUAACAUCCGACCCUCUGGAAUUUGAGGACAAGGCUUAAUUCAGUGGGGCAUUCUCUCCACCAGCUCAGUGAUGCCUCAGCUUUACACAGGGACUGUCCCGGUUUCAGCUGUAGAAGUCCCACAUCUUGGGAAACCCCUGAGCACCACCAGUAACACCAGGAUGGCUGAUCACGUGGGAUUUAUGGCACCCAGGCUUAACUAGCAACUUCAACAUUUAUAGAACAGCUGUGAAUCUGGAUAUAAGUGGAGUUCCGGAGUGUGAAGAAGGAUGAAAAUGAGGGAGACGCACCAAUAGGAGUGACAUGGAAUGAGCUGCCAGCCAGAAGGUAGGGUAAAUUUUCUAAUCCGGAGAUGAUUCCAUCAUCUUAGCAAAGCCAAAUCAUCAACACUGAAAAGAAAAGCUCCAGUGCUGGGAAAACUUGUUAGCCACACGCAAAGGGGUGUAGCUGGACCCUCACCUCCCACCACAUGCAAAACUGAACUUGCAAUGGAUGACCGAUCUACAUUUAAGAGAUACAACUAUAAAACUCUUAGAAGAAAACAUAGACAGAAGUGUUCAUGAACUUGAGUUAGACAAAGACUUACAACAAAAGGCAAAACAGAGAAACUGGACGUUAUCAAGAUUGGACACUUUUUUAUUUCAAAUAAGUCAAUCAAGAAAGUCAAAACCACCGAAUGGGGGAAACAAACAUAUUGCAAAGCAUAUACAUGAUAAGGGACUUGUAAUGAAGAUAUUCAAAGAACUGUGGAAACUCAAUCCAAUUUAAAAACAGGCAAAGGGGGAAGCUGGGUGGCUCAAUCGGUUGAGCAUCUGACUCUUGGUUUGGGCUCAGGUCAUGAUCUCACAGUUGGUGAAAUCAAGCUCAGCACUGGGCCUUGCGCUAACAGUGUGGGUGGAGCCUGCUUGGGAUUCUCUCUCUCCUCCUCUCUCUCUGCCCCUCCCUUGCUCAUGUGCCCUCUCUCUCUCAAAAUAAAUAAAGAAACUUAACAAAAUGGGCAAAGAAUCCAAGUAGACAAUUCUCCAAAGAAGAUACACAAAUAGCUUAUAUGCAUGUAAAUUUUCCAACAAACACAUAAUCACAUACUCAACAUCUCCAGUCAUUGAAGAAUGUAAAUCAAAACUGUAAUGAGACACUACUUCACAUCAAGAGGAGAGUUAGAAUUUAAAGAGCUGAUAAUACCGAGUGUAGGGGAGGCUAUAGAGAAAUCAGAAUCAAGCCCUGACGGUGGGACUAUAAAAUGGUACGAUGGCUUUGGAAAACAGUCUGGCCAUUCCCCAAAAUUUAAAUACGGAGUUACCUACAAUAUCUCAGCAAUCCCACUCGUGGGGACACAUCCAAAAGUAAAGACAAAUAUUAACACGAAAACCUGUACGCACAUGCUUACGGUGGCAUUAUGAAUAACAACCAAAAGUGGCCAAAAGAAGCCAAAUAUCUGCGCCCCUGAUGAAUUUACAAAUCAAUUGUGAUACGUCCAUUCAAUGAAGUAUUCUUCAGCAAUAAAAAGGAAUUGUUAGGAACGGAACUGUGUUCCUCCACCCUGUGUACAUUGAAGCCCUAACCCUCAACGUGAGUAUAUGUGGAGACAGACCUUUAAGGAGGUAAUUAAGGUUAAAUGAGGUCAGAGGGAUGGGGCCCUAAUCCAGUAGGACUGGUGUCCUUAAACAAAGAGGAAGAGACACUAGCGAUCUCUCUCUGUACAUACACACAGAGAAAAGACCAUGUGAGGACACAGUGAGAAGGUGGCCAUCUGCAAACCAAGAGGAAAGCCCUGGCCAGCAGCUAAUCCUGCUGGCACCUUGGUCUUGGGCUUCCAGCCUCCAAAACUCUGAGAAAACACGCUUCUGUUGUUUAAACCACCCAGGCUGUGAUUUUCUAUUAUGACAGCUCAAGCAGACCAAUAUAGGACUGAGGUCAAACAUUAGGGCAAAUGAAAGAAGCCAGACACAAAGGGCCACAUCUUAUAAGACUCCAGUAUAUGGAAUGCCCACAACAAACAGAUCCAUAGAGGCAGAGAGUAGAUGACUGGUUGCCAGGGGCUGGGGCUUAGGGAAAAUGAGGAGUGCCUGAUAAUGAGUAUAGGGUUUCUUUCUUUUUAGAGUCACGAAAAUGUUCUAAAAUUGACGGUGGUGAUGGAUGCACAACUCUGUGAACAGACUUAGAACCACCGGAUUUACAAUUUAAAUGAGUGCAUUGUAUGGGUUCCAGGCUCGACAGCCGGGGCCCAGGAAGUGUAUGCUGGUGAGAAGCAGAGGUGAACUCAUAAGCCCUGUGAAUUAUAGUCUUGGGUGAACCGCACUCUCCCCAGCUGGAAGGCUUCUUGCAGUGAAGGAACAAACCGAGAGACUCCCUACCGAGGUGGUCAGCAGGAAGUCAUGGCAGGAGUGAGCAUUCAGACUGCUUUAAUGUGAUAUCCUAGCUGUCUGGCUUUUCUUUGUCCUUUUCCCUCCAGAAGGAUGGUAUGCAGAUAUUUCCCUUCAUUUCCUGGGAGAGUCUGACGGGCACAAGCACAGGUAUCCUAACACUUGAGGCACUGCAGACCCAAUGAAUGUUGCAAGUUGUUUCACUACAGUAUGGUUACCAGUGGUAUUGCUGGGUGAGGAACGUUCUGCAAAUUUGGCAAACGUAUGCUGUCCUAUGACCCCCACCAGCACAGUCAAACAAAACGAACACUUCCAUGAACUCCAAAAAUUGCCCCAAGCCGUUUUGUAGAUCAACCAUUCCCUGAUCCCUAGUCCCUGCCAACCAAUAAUCCGGUCUCUGUUCCUAGGUUUUGCCUUUUCCAGAAUGUCAAUUAAAUGUAACUACACAGGGUGAA